GGGUGCGGCGAUGCACGCCGCAGGAACGGGAUGGUCGGGCCGCCAUCC
rnacentral:ncRNA from 3 species